rnacentral:lncRNA from 1 species
ACAACAGCUUAGUUUUGACUCAGCAGUCAAUAGUCUCUCAGAUGUAACGCAUAGGGACAGGAGUUGUGAGGCUGCGCACUGCGCUAGGACGAUUUAAAAUAAAUGAAUAUAUAAGCGGGUGGAGGGAAAUGGGAUAAGGUGAAUCCUCCCUUGGAAGGUUUAUUUAGUGAGUAAAAUUGGAAAGGCGCACCUGGCGUAGGGAACAGCGAGUGCGAACCAAAGGAAGCGGGAAACGCGUCGCUUGAGGAAUGGGAGUAGCCACUGGACUGUGACGCUGGAAAGGUACCUUGUAGGGUGUUGGGAUGGUGAGAUCUGCUCGGAGUGGCAGCUAGCAGAACUGUAUCUUUUAGGAUCAGGAUGGCCCUGGAACUCAGAAACCCGCCUCCCUCUUAAUGGGAUUAAGGUGUGGGCCGCCACUUAAAGCUCACUGUUUACAGUAGGAGUGAUUGAAUUAUGCAGCCCAACUUGGGAUCUCCCGUUAAAAUAAUUGAUAAGACUACCUUCUUAUCAAUUAUUGUUCAUCAAUUGACCAGUUUCCAGUCUCACAUUGUACAAGCAACUUUUGGUAAUUAAACAACACUUGGAUAACUCUGUAUCAUUUGCUAGUGUUAGCUUGGUAGGUUUCUUCCCAUCUCUUUUUUAUAAUGAACUUUUAUUUUAGAAUAAAUUUUAAGUUUACAGAAAUUACAAAAGUAAUACAGGAAUUGGGCACACUAUGCCCAGUUUCCCCUAUUGCUAGAUUCCACACCUCAAAUUCAUUUGUUAAAAGUAAGAAAUUGACAUUGCUCUAAUAUUCUGAACUAAGCCGCAGAUGUGGGCGCUUUUUCUCACUAAUGUUUCCGGUGCGCCAUAGCGUAACCCAGAGCAUCAUGUUGCAUUUGUCUUGCUUUUUUACCCAUCCUGUCAAGAGCUGUUUAUUGGGUUUAUGAUGCCCAUUUGCUUUACCACACAACUGAGGUUCAAAAAAACAAAACAAAAAGCCAAACCAAACUAAACCAAACCAAAACAACAACAACAACAACAAAAAAAAAAAAAAAAAAACUGGGCAGUGGUGGCCCACGCCUUUAAUCCCAGCACUUGGGAGGAAGAGGCAGGUGGGUUUCUGAGUUCGAGGCCAGCCUUGUCUACAGAGUGAGUUCCAGGACAGCCAGGGCUACACAGAGAAACCCUGUCUUGAAAAACCAAAAAAAGAGGUUCAGUGAGUCAAAUAACUUGCUUACAUUAACACUGAGGUGCCAGGACUAGGACCCAUAGGAAUCCAAACCAGCAUUGUGCAAGAACCAGGGAUACCCCUGGUGCUUCUGUAGUCACUUGAGGACCCUGCUCUGCCAUCUCCCCUACAGAGCUGCUGGUCUUUGGGAAGAGUCCCACUGUGGCAGAUUAGUUUUGUCUCCAGCGUUUAACUGAGCCAGGGGUUGCUUGUUUAUUUCUUUCUGGAAGCUGGUCCCUCAAAGGAUUACCAGGAUAAGAGAUGCAGUUUUUAUCCUCUCACAUGUAAGCAUAUUUAUGUUUGUUUAUUUGUUUUGUUUAUUAUUAUUUUCACAUAGCUGGUGAUUCACAGUCUCUGGGCAGCAUAUUUAGAGAACCUGUUCCCUGGGCCUCCAGACCAGCACCAGCCCACACUCCACUCUAAAUCCCACAACAAAUAGGUACUCGAAAGGGGAAAGUAGCACAUUGUGUUUGCUAAUCAUUAGAAUUUGAACACUUUAGUUGGGUGUGGUGAUACACGCCGUCACACGCCGUUAAUCUCCUCACUAGGGAGGCAGAGGCUGAGGCAGGCUCUUCUCUGUGAGUUCAAGGCCAGCCUGGUCUACAAAGAGAGUUCCAGGACAGCCCAGGGCUGUUUCACAGAGAAACCCUGUCUCCAAAACAACAACAACAAAGACAAAAAAGACAAUUUUAUCCAUUUGUUUUGGGGUUUUUGUUUUUCUCAGUUACUUAUUAUUAAAUUGAGGUCUUUUUUGUUAGAUAAUAGAAGCUUUUUGAAUUAUGUUUAUGUAUUAACCACGUUUUUCUUUGCCAUGUAUGCUAUUUGUUUUUUAAACAAAUGAGAACUACAUACAUAUUGUUCCCCAGACAAUAAAUUUCCCUUUUGACUCUGC